UCCAAUUGACUUUGGUUUCACCUCAGUCCAAUCAUUCAUUCAACAGCUUUGCAGUGAGCACCUACUAGGUGUCAGACACUGCUCAGGGCUCUGGGAAUACUAAGACAAAUGAGACGCACAUCCUCCCUCAGUCCUUCAGGCUGCAGGUAAAGACUGACAGGCAAUUUCUUGUGUGGGUUCUUGGCCAUUGACUUUAGUCUCUGCUUUUUCUCUCUGUUUUCAAACCAGAUUCUUUGUGGAAACCUAUCACCCUGCAAGCUUGUUUUUGUCUUUCCGCUCAUUGCCGCACUACAGUAUGACUGCGCCUAGUCAUUCCACACCCUGCAGUGUGGCUUCUAGCCUGGACCAGGGCCCUCUGUGAUGGUACCUGCUCUGCCCAGGAAACCCUGACUUCAUCCUGAUCUUCCUUCUUUCUGAAAUAGAACCAGUCCGUCACAGGCCAACGUGGUCUCUCCCACCUCGUGAUCACUCACUUGGCAGGUGUCAUGCAUGGUUUAUCUUGUGGCAUCUUUCAUACUGAUGUCUGAUAGUAUUACUUUUGUUGUAUCCUAAUUUGACUUUUCCUAUAGAUUGGACCUGAUCCUUGUUCUCAGAGCUAAUAAGCAACCCCAUCCUGUUGAAUCUGUUAGGAUUGAGAUUAGAUUCUUUUUUUCCCCCUUAUUUUUAGUUAUUUAAACUGUGUGCCAGGCCUGGCUUGUGAGUCCUCAGAUCCAUUCCUUGCCCUUCUCUGCUCUGCUGUGUAUUGCAGGACGCUGACCCCUGCAGGCUAAGCUCCUAAGAUCUUGCGUCAGCUGGCUUCUGGCUGAGUUUGGUCAAUGGAUGGCACCAACAAGAAUUGGGUGUUGGGAGGGAGAAGCCCUGAAUCCACAGAUUCUUCACUGACAGCAUCGGUGGCAGUUCCUUCAUGGCUCCAGCCUCCACUGGACAGGCCUACUGUGGUUCCAGCUUCCACAGGGUAAUUUGGCUUCUGGAUUCUAGUAACAUCACCUCCUCCUUUUGACCCUCUACUCUAAGGGGUGGUAGUAAUUUCCUGCUGCUGCUAAUUUCUGGGUUGCCUUACCACCUCCUAGUAGCUACUCAGCUUUGCUCUCUCCUGAGAAACUAAAACAGAGUCGUUUCUGUUUCCUGGUUGGACCAUGGUUGAUAUAACUAUUCCUCCCUUCUUCCCUCCCUCCUUUUCUCCUUCCCCCCUUCCUUCUUUCCUUCUUUUCCUGGAAGUGGUACACAUCUUAAGGGGAUUGUUUUAGGAUGUUAGGCCACAUAUGGUCUUCCCAAAGCCGACUGCUACUCUGAAUCCUGCAACUUCUUGGUCUCUCCCAACACCGUCAGCAAAAUAUGAAUGAUAUAGUUGUCUGUGGCUGGUCUGGGAACCUAUCAUUUUUAUACUGCACAUAUGGGCACCUAUACUUGAUGCUCUAUAUUCCAAAUAUACAAGUUGAAUAUUUGGACGCAAUCUGUUUGCAAAAGGCCAACUUGCUGGAAUAAAAACAAUCACCCAUC